UACAGAGGUCUCAAGCGUUGUUCGGAUUCAUUGGGCGUAAAGGGUGCGUAGGCGGCGCGGUAAGUCGGGUGUGAAAGUCUUGGAGCUUAACUCCGAAACUGCAUUCGAUACUGCCGUGCUUGAGGACUGGAGAGGAGACUGGAAUUUACGGUGUAGCGGUGAAAUGCGUAGAUAUCGUAAGGAAGACCAGUGGCGAAGGCGGGUCUCUGGACAGUUCCUGACGCUGAGGCACGAAGGUCAGGGGAGCGAAACGG
rnacentral:rRNA from 1 species